rfam:Schistosoma mattheei strain Denwood, Zambia genome assembly, scaffold: SMTD_scaffold0000955
AUCCAACCGAUGAGUCUCAAACCUGACGAAACACGUGUCCUGGAU